rnacentral:rRNA from 1 species
GACGUAGGGCGCGAGCGUUGUCCGGAUUUAUUGGGCGUAAAGAGCUCGUAGGCGGUUUGUCGCGUCUGCCGUGAAAGUCCGGGGCUCAACUCCGGAUCUGCGGUGGGUACGGGCAGACUAGAGUGAUGUAGGGGAGACUGGAAUUCCUGGUGUAGCGGUGAAAUGCGCAGAUAUCAGGAGGAACACCGAUGGCGAAGGCAGGUCUCUGGGCAUUAACUGACGCUGGGGAGCGAAAGCAUGGGGAGCGAACGAGG